rnacentral:lncRNA from 12 species
CAGGAAGAGCUCUCCUACUGCCGAACCAAGCAAGAUCUGCAGUGGAGAGCAGGACAAUGGGAAAAAUGGCACUGGCUAUGAUGAUAACAUCAGAACAAAACAGGAGCUGGAUUCAGAGGGAAAAAGAUAUGAGGCUUCCUUGCUGUAUGCCACAGAGGGGGAUGUGAAGAAGGGGUCAUUGGGACCCCCUCUGAUCCCCCCUACACGCAAGGCAGUCAGUCCCGUUGUUGGCAGUGCUGCAGGGUCUCUGCACAGCUCUCUGCAGCUGCAUGUCCAAGAGUCCCAGGAGAUGAGGUAAGCCAAGCUGUCUGCUGCUCCACUGUGCUGUUCUGCUCACUCUUCUCGUCUUGUGAGGUUCUUUUGCACAGUCAGCUCUCCCAUGCAUUUAGGCAAACCUCUGUGUAUUCACCAUUUUGCCCAUCUCUGAUGAUCCUGUUCAAUGUCAAACCCCAUACCAUAUGCCCCAGGAGCAGAGGUGGUGGUGGGGAAGAGAAGGCAGGGCUUAGAAGCACCUAAAGACAAGUCCUCUGAUGGGCUUGUUAUUGAGUCCCUCUGUAAUGUUUGUAGUGGCAUUUGGGAACUGUGUUGCAUGGGUCUGCAUCCUGCAGAUCUUUGAAUACUGUGAUCCUUGACUGUCACCUUCAGCAUCCAAAAUAAUAUGUUUGGGCAAAUACAGGCUGCUGGAGAGGUGUCUGCAAAUUCCAGUGCUGCGUCUGUAAACAUGAGGAGUAACUUGUCUGUUUCUUGGCCUCCACUGUGAAACGAGAUCCCAGAUACAUUUUGGGAUGCAGAUGUAUACUCUAAUGUUUAAUAUUUAGGUCUGGGCUUAAAAUCAAAGAGGGCAGGGUGCUAGAGAAGACUUAUAGGACUGUACCUGAUGGCAAGAUAUUGGCUUGGAUAUGUGUGAGAAAAUGUAGCUG